UUUACUCAUACGUAUCGGAUUAUUGGGCGUAAGAGCUCGUAGGCGGUUUGUCGCGUCUGCUGUGAAAGACCGGGGCUCAACUCCGGUUCUGCAGUGGGUACGGGCAGACUAGAGUGCAGUAGGGGAGACUGGAAUUCCUGGUGUAGCGGUGAAAUGCGCAGAUAUCAGGAGGAACACCGAUGGCGAAGGCAGGUCUCUGGGCUGUAACUGACGCUGAGGAGCGAAAGCAUGGGGAGCGAACAGGAUUAGAUACCCUGGUAGUCCAUGCCGUAAACGUUGGGCACUAGGUGUGGGGGACAUUCCACGUUUUCCGCGCCGUAGCUAACGCAUUAAGUGCCCCGCCUGGGGAGUACGGCCGCAAGGCUAAAACUCAAAGGAAUUGACGGGGGCCCGCACAAGCGGCGGAGCAUGCGGAUUAAUUCGAUGCAACGCGAAGAACCUUACCAAGGCUUGACAUGAACCGGUAAUACCUGGAAACAGGUGCCCCGCUUGCGGUCGGUUUACAGGUGGUGCAUGGUUGUCGUCAGCUCGUGUCGUGAGAUGUUGGGUUAAGUCCCGCAACGAGCGCAACCCUCGUUCUAUGUUGCCAGCGCGUUAUGGCGGGGACUCAUAGGAGACUGCCGGGGUCAACUCGGAGGAAGGUGGGGACGACGUCAAAUCAUCAUGCCCCUUAUGUCUUGGGCUUCACGCAUGCUACAAUGGCCGGUACAAAGGGUUGCGAUACUGUGAGGUGGAGCUAAUCCCAAAAAGCCGGUCUCAGUUCGGAUUGGGGUCUGCAACUCGACCCCAUGAAGUCGGAGUCGCUAGUAAUCGCAGAUCAGCAACGCUGCGGUGAAUACGUUCCCGGGCCUUGUACACACCGCCCGUCAAGUCACGAAAGUUGGUAACACCCGAAGCCGGUGGCCUAACUCUUGUGGGGGGAGCCGUCGAAGUGGGACCGGCGAUUGGGACUAAGUCGUACCAAAGGUAACCCU
rnacentral:rRNA from 1 species